rnacentral:rRNA from 1 species
AUGACACAUUUUGGCUUUCAUCCGCAGUGGGUCUCCAUGAUCAUGAGAUGUGUCACCUCGGCGCGGUUUUCUGUUAAAUUGAAUGUUGCACUGUCCAGGAGUUUUUUACCUUCUCGGGGCCUAAGACAGGGAGACCCCUUAUCUCCAUAUUUGUUUCUCUUCUGUGUUGAAGGGUUCUUAGCGCUGCUCAAGAAAGCCCAGAAUGAUAAAAAGCUAGCGGGAGUGAAGUUUGGGAGCACUGGCCCCCAUAUAACUCACCUUCUUUUUGCAGAUGACAGUAUUGUCUUUCUGGAAGGGACGAGGGAGAACAUGGAGAUGCUAAAACAGAUUCUUGUGAAGUAUGAAAAAGCGUCCGGCCAAAAGGUAAAUUUGCAGAAGUCCUCUAUCUUUUUUGGAAAGGGCAGCCAAGAUGUAAUGAAGGAGCAAAUGAAGCAAAUAGUGGGCAUUCAGUCUGAAGCUUUGAGUGAACGAUACUUGGGACUACCAACACUGGUUGGUAGGUCCAAGGAGGGGACGUUCAAACACGUCACGGAGUGCGCUAAAGGGAAAGUGUGCGGAUGGAAGGGCCAAGGUUUAUCCAAAGCAGCAAGGGAAGUUCUUGUUAAAUCUGUGUUGCAAGCGACGCCGACCUAUACCAUGAGUUGUUUUCACCUCUCAAAGAAGAUGUGCCGGAACCUGACUUCAAUCUCGUCUAAAUUCUGGUGGGGUGCAAUGAAUGGUGAGAGAAAGGUCCAUUGGAUCGCUGGGCAAAAGAUGUGUGCGAGCAAGAGGGCUGGAGGCAUGGGCUUUCGUGACCCGGAGGCUUUCAACCGAGCGUUGUUAGCGAAACAAGCAUGGCGAAUUCUUCAAGUUCCUAACUCUCUUUGUGCCAGAGUGCUUAAAGCUCGAUAUUUUAAGGAUGAGUCAAUAUUGUCAGCAUCCUGCCCGGCUUCUGGGUCUUUCACCUUUCGGAGUAUAUUGCAUGGCCGAGAUUUGCUAAGGGAGGGGUUGAUCUGGAGAAUAGGGUCGGGCACAAAUAUCAACAUCCACCAUGAUGCAUGGAUCCCUCGCAAUGGGAGCACAAAACCUCUCGGUCAGGUGUAUAUCCAGGGUAUAACCAAAGUGUCUCACUUGAUGAACCCUGAUGGUAGAUCCUGGAAUGAGGAGUUGGUCGAUCAGAUGUUUAUCGUUGCUGACGCUAUCGAUGUGAAACAGAUUGCCAUUGGUGGCCUGGCGAUGGACGAUCUUCUUGCAUGGAAUUUUACACGGGAUGGUGUCUUCACAGUGAGGUCAGCGUACCACUUUCGGAUGUCUCUAAACAGGGCACGAUCCGGACAGCCGGAGCCUUCUAGUUCAGCGGCUAUGCACAAAGGAUACCUGUCGUUAUGGGAUACAAAUGCGCCGGGUAAGGUCAAGAUUCAUAUGUGGCGCAUGAUUCACAACGGUCUUGCGGUGGGAGCUGAACUUCACCGUCGUCGGAUUAAGCCAGGAGUUUUUUGUGUUGUGUGCGCCCGG